CUUUAGAAGUAAAGAGAACGCUUAUAGUGGAACUUAAAAAAAAAUCAAAAAAAUCAACUAUUCUUAAAGAUGGAGAGUAUUUCAAUUUCAAGACUUGACUUAAUCUUGAAGCAAUUUAUUAGGUAUGUAUUUAGUUACCAUUAAUUUGUGGAUAUUAACUUUAUAAGUUUGUAUUUUAAUAUACUUUUCUUCAAAGACUAAAGGCGAUAAAAAUGAACGUAGUUUGGCAUGUUUUUCGAAAUAAAAUGUAUCAGAGGCUUCAGACAAGAUAAUAAUGUUUUACUCGAAAAUGAAAAAAUGUAUCAUUGAUAGUUAUACAGCUUAUGAUAAAAACACCGGUUAGUCUUCCGUAUAACUUUAUUUUAUUUAUUACCAAUUAUUAUUAUUUAUUGUUUUCGUUUAGAAUUGACCAGUACAAAGGGUACUGUAGCCUUUUGAAGGAAUAUGCAAUGGAAGCAUUUACAGUAAAUGGAAUGGCAGCACCAAUAUAUGUAGCGAAGAGAAUGGCAUAUUCCCAGGAAAAUGACAAUUUCGGUAUUCUUGUUUAUCAUUCAAUUUGUAAUGUUACAAAUAUUGUUUCGAAUCGAAUAAGUUAAUAAUU
rnacentral:lncRNA from 1 species